CCGGUGAAGUGUCGCGGGUGUCUCUCUGCCCCAGCUGUGGUCCGUGAAUGCAGCAUCCUGGGACAAACCUGCGCCGGUUUUAUUUGCGCUCGCGGGUCCGCUGGCGUUGUCCUUAAAAGGAGGAGGACGUGAUGGUGGAGACAGUUUGACUGGAGACAUGAAGCAGUGUAACAGUCAACUGCAGCAGAACUCAGCUGUCGUACGUUUGUGUGGUUUUGUGUAGCGGAGGUGUUCCUGUUAUUGUGUCCACACCCUGAACCUGCACAGACACGACUGUAGGCUCAGUCACAGCCUCUCUCUCUGACAUAUCCUCAUGCUGAACCAUUAAAGACUCUCUCCAUCCGGGCGGUACCUGAGUCCAGGAGGCGGUCCUGACCAGGUGUGACCACGCCCCCCUGUGUCUCUCCUGUCUGUCCUUGUAAGGACUGAACUGCAGCUGGAACUCCACCACAUGACUCACCUGCAGAGGAGGAAGUCAGUCCCUCAGCUUCACCUUUUACUGUCUGUAGUUAUUUAUACGUUAACAUCACAACAUUUACCUGAACCACGCUGCAAACACACACCUCACACACACCUCACACACACCUCACACAAACUUCAGACUGACUGUGAUUCAGAGGCUCUGUGUAAAAAAACAAGAUCAGGAUCUUAAGAACUAAACGUUUUACCUGUAGGUCAGUGUUUUGACCUCACACAGCUGGUUUCCUUAUAUGGACCGAACACUGCUGCACUUCAUGACAGUUCAUUCUUUUCAUGAAGAAACUGGAGAUUUGUCAGAUUCUGAUUUUACUCAAAUUAAAUAAUGAACUGUUAAAAUUCUCCUGCUGUACACCUCCACUCCCUGUCAGCUCAGAGAGGAAUACUGCUCUUUAAUUUAUCUGACAGGUUGUAGUUUCGCUGCAGUGUGAGGUUUUUAUUUGUAUAAAAUAUGAGGAAGUUAUCAGAUAUGACACAUUUCAAAUAAACCACCCAGCAACAUAAAAACAGCUCCACUGUCAGCAGUUAAAACAUCAGUAAUAAUAAUUUAAAAACAUAUAUACUGUAACUCAUACUGCAGCAGUACUUUUAUUUUUGAUACUAAAAGACAGAGCUUUUAUUUGAACGUCAGACAGGGAGUGUAUGAUAUUUAAAGUCUCUGAAGGUGGAUUCAAACUGAAUUUCCUCAUCAACACUUCAGAGGAAAGUCCCUCUUCAUAAUAAAAACAGGUUUUAUUUAUCGUGGUUACAGGAAAUCCUUUCAGUUUAUAUGAAGUCACGUAUGUUUGACCAACCAGAGGAUGUGAAUGCAGCAGCUUUAGUUCUCAGUGUUGUCCCUGAUUUGUCUGCAGUGAGGUGACAGCUCUGGUUUGCCUCGGGUCUCUGGUUUAGAUCUCUGACCUGUGAUCAUCGCCCUGCAGUCAGGCACAGCCAACAUAGUCCACAUUCUCCGGCUGGCCUGGGCCUGUUCAGGAGCUGGAGGAGGGUCCAUCUCAUUAACAUCACAGCAAUACAAAGACCAAAAAAGGUGCGAACGCAGGAGAAACUUCCUGAGCGGGUGGAGGAAUCCUCCGCCUUUAAAAACCAGGCUGCUUUUCAUGAAAACCAACGUGCAGAGACUUGAACCCUGAGAUUAUCAGUCCUCAUCAUGUCUUCAUCUCUGACACAGUUUAAUGCAGAACAGACUGAGGACGUGUUGACUGACAAACAGGUUUCAGCUUUACACUGUGAUUUCAAUGGAAGUGAGCUGAAACUGAAGGAGGAACAGUACAUUCAGACGUGUGUUUGUAAGAAGGUUUACAGAGAGUCUCUGUUUUCAGGUCAGUGGCAGCUGUUGUGGACAAAAAUAAUUAAAUCAAACUUCACAGGUCUU